rnacentral:rRNA from 1 species
CGAACGGGUGAGGAACGCGUGGACAACCUACCCCGGCGUGGGGGAGUACCCGCCCAGAAAUGGCGGCUAAUACCGCGUACGGUCGCCCGACGGAGGGUUGGGCGAAGAAAGCAGCGAUGCGCGCUGGGAGGGGUCUGCGGCCGAUUAGCUUGUUGGCGGGGUAGUGGCCCACCAAGGCGAUGAUCGGUAGCUGGUCUGAGAGGAUGAUCAGCCACACGGGGACUGAGACACGGCCCCG